CUGUACUGUCUACUCCUUGUAUAAUACCUAGCUCUGACAUUUCUGUUGUUCAUGAGACAUGUCAUUUCCCUCGCACCGGGUGCACUGCAAAACGUUAGCGUGUUGCUAACGAGCGAAGUCAACUGAAAUCAGCCAAAGCUGCAUAACUAAGAUUGUGCAACUAAACACAACUAAGUAUAAUGUAAACAACCUUACUGUUGUGAAAACGUCCUCGAAACUGUGCAAAGUUCUGCAAACUCGUCCUCCUGUGUAACUGCUGCUGCGUUUGUUUAGCUGUUGCGCCUGCAUUUGCCGCGGCUUUUUUAAAAUGGCUCUGCUGCUUCCGCAUAAAUCAACC